rnacentral:lncRNA from 1 species
UGAAUUGGUUUGGGCUAAUGGAUGAUGGGCUAACGGAUUUAGACCUUACCUGUACUGUAGACCAUCUUCCCCCUUCAACGAAUCCGACGGCUCACGCCUGAUUUCGCGGCGGUGGUUGCGAGGAGGUGUUGCACCGGUGGAGUGGGGCGGCGUCGAGUGGGGCGGCGGCGUCCUUCUCCUGGAUCCGGCCACGGACGGUGGCAACAAGAUGUGGCCGAAG